rnacentral:tRNA from 1 species
UUGAGUUUUAAGUUAUAUAAACUAUAAGCCUUCCAAGCUUAAAAAAUAAAUUAAACUUAAA